rnacentral:rRNA from 1 species
GACGAACGCUGGCGGCGUGCUUAACACAUGCAAGUCGAACGGAAAGGCCCUACGGGGUACUCGAGUGGCGAACGGGUGAGUAACACGUGGGUGAUCUGCCCUGCACUUUGGGAUAAGCCUGGGAAACUGGGUCUAAUACCGAAUAGGACCACGCGCUUCAUGGUGUGUGGUGGAAAGCUUUUGCGGUGUGGGAUGGGCCCGCGGCCUAUCAGCUUGUUGGUGGGGUAAUGGCCUACCAAGGCGACGACGGGUAGCCGGCCUGAGAGGGUGACCGGCCACACUGGGACUGAGAUACGGCCCAGACUCCUACGGGAGGCAGCAGUGGGGAAUAUUGCACAAUGGGCGCAAGCCUGAUGCAGCGACGCCGCGUGAGGGAUGACGGCCUUCGGGUUGUAAACCUCUUUCAAUAGGGACGAAGCGCAAGUGACGGUACCUAUAGAAGAAGCACCGGCCAACUACGUG